CGGACGGGUGGAGUAAUGUCUGGGAAACUGCCUGAUGGAGGGGGGUAACUACUGGAAACGGUAGCUAAUACCGCAUAACGUCGCAAGACCAAAGAGGGGGACCUUAGGGCCUCUUGCCAUCGGAUGUGCCCAGAUGGGAUUAGCUUGUUGGUGGGGUAACGGCUCACCAAGGCGACGAUCCCUAGCUGGUCUGAGAGGAUGGCCAGCCACACUGGAACUGAGACACGGUCCAG
rnacentral:rRNA from 1 species